rnacentral:lncRNA from 1 species
AAAAAUCGUUAAUGAUCUACACGCCCUCAAGAAGACAUUUACGGAUCGGGAACUUGUCCGGAAAAUUCUCCGAAGUCUUAAUCCGGAAUGGCGAUCAAAGGCCGAUGCUAUCCAGGAAUCAAUCGGUGUAACAAACGUCACAAUCGACGGGCUAAGAGGUAACCUUAGAACAUAUGAGUCUACUAUUCUUAACCCUCCUGUAGGUGAUCAAAGGCAAAGAAAAAUUGCCUUAAAAGCUAGCACGGCUCAACCUCAAAUUAAUGAGGACUCAAGUGACGAAGAUAACGAGUUCGGGCUCGUUAUUAAGAAGUUUCACAAGUUCAUGCGAAAGGAGUAUGAAC